rnacentral:rRNA from 1 species
GUGCCAGCCGCCGCGGUAAUACGUAGGUGGCAAGCGUUAUCCGGAAUUAUUGGGCGUAAAGCGCGCGUAGGCGGUUUUUUAAGUCUGAUGUGAAAGCCCACGGCUCAACCGUGGAGGGUCAUUGGAAACUGGAAAACUUGAGUGCAGAAGAGGAAAGUGGAAUUCCAUGUGUAGCGGUGAAAUGCGCAGAGAUAUGGAGGAACACCAGUGGCGAAGGCGACUUUCUGGUCUGUAACUGACGCUGAUGUGCGAAAGCGUGGGGAUCAAACAGGAUUAGAUACC